AACACCAACACAGCUUUCUUGCUUGGACAAUCCUACUACUCCUUCUCCCUCCUACAAUUUCCACUCUUAUAGUUAGGGUUUAUGACAUGCUACUCCAUACAAGUACAACCCCACAAUGCUUCAACAAAGGAGACGCUGUAGAAGUCCUAAAAACACAGCCUUUUACCAUCUGGUACCCCGCCACCAUACUCCGAUCAACCCCAACCAGAAAUGGUCAAAUUUACGUUGAGUUCCAGACCCUUAACGAGGAACCUUCUGGACGCCGGAGGAGAGAGUACAUUAAUGCUUGUGAUAUACGGCCUACACCUCCAAUUGAGCUUCACAGGUACUUCAAGGUUGGUGACAAUGUGGAGGUCCUUUAUGAAGGGAAAGGGUGGAGAAAAGGGAAGGUGAAUGGUAUCUUGGAGAAUUCUAUGUAUUUGGUUUCACUUGUAGAAGUUGUGGUUAAAGCGGAACAAUGGGGUUUGCGGUUUUCUCGAGACUGGGAUGAUGGCUCUUGGGUUCCUCCUCCUCUUCACCUCCAAAAAUUGCCCCAGAACAUACAAGAUGUAGACCUAAAGUCAAGAGGGGUCAAACUCAGGAUAAAGUGUUGCAGAUCUUGGAUGGGAACAUUUAGCGAAGGGAUGUCUGUAGAGGUCAAGCGUGAUAAAGAAGGUUUCCGUGGUUCAUGGCAUAAUGUAGUUAUUGUCAAAUCUGUUGGCUAUGACAAGUAUUUGGUCGAAUAUCAGACACUGAAAGCAGUGAACGGGUCUCAAUUUCUCAAAGAAGAGGUUGAUGCUUCAUGCAUCAGACCGUGUCCACCUGAAAUCCAUUCGUUUCAUCCUUUUGAACCUCUUGAUAAGGUAGAUGCUUGGUUCAUUGAUGGAUGGUGGGAAGGUCAUAUAAGAGAAGUUCUUGGUGGUUUGAUGUAUGAAGUGUGUUUGUUGAGCACAGAGGAAGAAUUGGUGUUUGAACAUUCUAUGCUGAGACCUCAUCAAGAAUGGAUCAAAGAGAAAUGGGUUACUGCCAGAGAGUUUGAUAUGACAAGAAGUUCAUCUGACAUGAAUUUGAAGUCGAAGGAUCUGAAAAUCAAGAUAAAGUGUAGUGGAAAGACAUCAGAACCCAAGUUCAGCAAAGAGAUGAGGGUAGAGGUGAAAAGUGAUGAAGAAGGAUACAAGGGUUCCUGGUACGCUGCAGUUAUUAUCGAGUCAAUUGGUCAGCAUAAGUUUUUGGUGGAGUACCUGACACUAAGAACUGAAGACGAAUCUGAGCCCCUUAAAGAAAUGGCAGAUGCUUCUGACAUUAGGCCCUGCCCCCCUGUAAUUGAUAGAAUUGACAGAUUUAAAAUGCUUGAAGAAGUUGACGCAUGGUAUAAUGACGGAUGGUGGGUUGGUAUUAUAUGCAAAAUCCUUGAUGGCUUAAAGUACAUGGUGUAUUUUUGGACCACAAAUGAGGAACUGGUGUUUGACCAUUUCACUUUGAGACCCCAUCAAGAGUGGAUUGAUGGAAAAUGGGUCAUUGCCUUCAGGAAAAAACCCAAAGUUCAAGUGAAGCCCGGACUUGGAAAACUAAAGGGACAGAAUGGUGGAGUAGCCAGACGCACAAAAUUUAGCGUUGGAGCAAAGGUGGAGGCGAAGAGAGAUGAAGAAAGUUACCGGGGUUCAUGGUACCCUGCUACAAUUGUGAGACAUCUAGGAAAUGGGAAGUAUCUGCUGCGAUACCAGACUCUAGAAACUGAUGAUGAAACGGACCUCCUGACUGAAGAAGCAGAUGCUCUUUGUAUAAGACCUCCCCCAGUGACCCAACAACCUGACAUAUUCUGGCCACUUGAUGAAGUUGAUGCUUGGUAUAAUGGUGGAUGGUGGGCUGGUCAAGUUUGCAAAGUUCUUGAUGGUUCAAACUAUACAGUCUACUUUAAAAUGUCGAAUGAGAUCUUGGAAAUUCAGCAUUCCGAUUUGAGGCCCCAUCAACACUGGCUAGAUGGAAAAUGGAUUGCUGCUAAAAGGGUAUUGAUAUGAUUCUUUUUUUCUCUUAAAGCAGCUAACUUAUUAGUGAUGUUAUUAGCAUAGAGCUGCUGAUUGAUGAUCUGUUGUAUAUUUGGACAUGGACUCCCAAAUUGGUUUUUCCUCUACUCUCUGUUUCCUGCAAGCAAUGAAAGUAGACAGAAGGGAAAAAAGAAAAAUAUAGGUGAACUUGGACAUGCCACAGUAAAGCAUGCAAUAUUUAAACUGGACCUUCUUUGGUCCUUAUUGCUCUUCUCUCCUGGUGCUGGUAACUUGGUUGGAUAUCAUGAUCAGGGCAGGCAAAGCAUGACGAUAUUUACCUACUUGACUCGAUAGCACAAGCUCCUCGAAAAUCUUGCACUUGGUAAUUCAUGAAAACAUCAAAAUGUGCACGAACUUGUUAAAUCUCGAGUUGCCUAACUUGUAUAGGGAGGGAGGGGGUUUAUCUUUUGAAAUAUACAUGUAUAGUAUGAUACCAUAAUCUAUGAACUUGGAAGAGCUAAACUGUCCAUAACAUCAACCUUUUUGUGAGUAACUGUUAGGACACAUGAUUUCUUAAGAAUACAAGUUUAUUUCACGUCAA